UCCUUCCUGCUUAUUUGAAAAGAAACCCAAACUGCCAUGACUCGCUUCCUCUUCUCACUUCUCUACAAGCUUCCUGCCAGAUUUUCUUAACUUCUUUGUGUAACAUUUGACUAUGUGGUGCUUGCACACUUGUGAAUUCAGAGCACUGCUCCUGUGCCGGUGGUGCUGUGGACUGUCUCUUAGAUCUAGCCAGUGGUGUGUCUGACACACUAUUGAUAGACCCUGCACUGUCUGAAGAGCAAUGCUGCAUGGACGGGAAAGAAGUCAAAUGUGAAGUCUCUGCCUCAGGGAUCCGUUUUGUGGCAUUCUGGAAAACUGGCAAGAAGGACUCUGCAGGUAACGUUCUCAUGGAGGCUUUUCUUCACGUGUGUCUUCCUGCUGAAGCAAACCUGGAAUGAAUGAGGAUGUUUGCAAACCAAAGGUGUUCCGGUUACCUGACUUCGAGGCUCCGCCCAACUCGUCACUGAUUUUUUUUUUUAUUGCCUGAUUCAUCAAUCCUGAAUAUAUCCACCCUCUCAGCAAAUAAAAUCUGCUUCUGGGAGAAAGAGAGUUAGUAAUAUGUGACAGGAAAUGUGGUGUACCGUAAAGUAAAUAAACGGAACUGAAAAAUGUUUUAGA